rnacentral:misc_RNA from 1 species
GAUGAAGAACGCAGCGAAAUGCGAUAAGUAAUGUGAAUUGCAGAAUUCAGUGAAUCAUCGAAUCUUUGAACGCACAUUGCGCCCGCCAGUAUUCUGGCGGGCAUGCCUGUUCGAGCGUCAUUUCAACCAUCAAGCCCCCGGCUUGUGUUGGGGACCUGCGGCUGCCGCAGGCCCUGAAAACCAGUGGCGGGCUCGCUAGUCACUCCGAGCGUAGUAAUACAUCUCGCUCAGGGCGUGCUGCGGGUUCCGGCCGUUAAAAAGCCUUAUUUACCCAAGGUUGACCUCGGAUCAGGUAGGAAGACCCGCUGAACUUAAGCAUAUCAAUAAGCGGACGA